GACAGAGGGUGCAAACGUUGUUCGGAAUUACUGGGCGUAAAGCGCGUGUAGGCUGCUCUGCAAGUCGGGUGUGAAAGCCCUGGGCUCAACCUAGGAAGUGCACUCGAAACUGCAGAGCUGGAGUCCUGGAGAGGAAGGCGGAAUUCUCGGUGUAGAGGUGAAAUUCGUAGAUAUCAAGCGGAACACCGGUGGCGAAGGCGGCCUUCUGGACAGUGACUGACGCUGAGACGCGAAAGCGUGGGGAGCAAACAGG
rnacentral:rRNA from 1 species